rnacentral:rRNA from 1 species
UGGGGAAUUGUUCGCAAUGGGCGCAAGCCUGACGACGCAACGCCGCGUGGAGGAUGAAGGUCUUCGGAUUGUAAACUCCUGUUGCCAGGGACGAAAAGCUCCGACCUAACACGUCGGAGUCUGACGGUACCUGGUGAGGAAGCCCCGGCUAACUCUGUGCCAGCAGCCGCGGUAAUACAGAGGGGGCUAGCGUUGUUCGGAAUUACUGGGCGUAAAGGGCGCGUAGGCGGCCCGCUAAGUCGAACGUGAAAUCCCCGGGCUCAACCCGGGAACUGCGUCCGAUACUGGCAGGCUUGAAUCCGGGAGAGGGAUGUGGAAUUCCAGGUGUAGCGGUGAAAUGCGUAGAUAUCUGGAGGAACACCGGUGGCGAAGGCGGCAUCCUGGACCGGUAUUGACGCUGAGGCGCGAAAGCCAGGGGAGCAAACGGGAUUAGAUACCCCGGUAGUCCUGGCCCUAAACGAUGAAUGCUUGGUGUGGCGGGUAUCGAUCCCUGCCGUGCCGAAGCUAACGCUAA